AUAAUGAAAAUUAAAAUAGUGAACUAAAAUAGCAAACUAAAAUUAGGCUUUGUCUGGGAUUGCGGAGAGCUUGCGUUACGUGCGGUGAGAAAGUACGUUGGAAAAAUACCCUGUUUGUUUCAGUACAUAAUAUUGCGUUCCACAUAUCGCGAUGAGUUGGUUAUGAUAUAUUUUCUGCGGUCCCACCAGAGAACGCAGAAGCAUAUCUCUAUAUGAUUUUUCCUCAACUCCAUUUUAUCUAGCGUUAGAUAGACCUCUGUCACGCCCCGGGACCCAGCGGAGGCCUGCCCGAUGCGUGUCCAGAUCCGCCAUAUGCCAACAACAUAUAAGGCGUCUACAACAACGCGAUAAAUAAAACAACUAUAUCGAGUAUCUAGAGAUAUCAGAGCAUACAACAUCUAGAUUCUAAUAAAGGGUAGAAUAAUAAAAGAACUAAACAACUAACAUAAU
rnacentral:lncRNA from 1 species